rnacentral:rRNA from 1 species
UCCUACGGGGGGCAGCAGUGGGGAAUAUUGCACAAUGGGGGAAACCCUGAUGCAGCGACGCCGCGUGAGUGAAGAAGUAUCUCGGUAUGUAAAGCUCUAUCAGCAGGAAAGAUAAUGACGGUACCUGACUAAGAAGCCCCGGCUAACUACGUGCCAGCAGCCGCGGUAAUACGUAGGGGGCAAGCGUUAUCCGGAUUUACUGGGUGUAAAGGGGGCGCAGACGGCCAUGGCAAGCCCGGUGUGAAAGGUGCGGGCACAACCCGCAGACUGCACUGGUAACUGCCUGGCUGGAGUGCCAGAGGGGU